ensembl:lncRNA
UAUGAAGUUUCUAAACAAAAAAAAUUCAGAAUUGGUUUCCAUAUAUUUCAAGGGCCAGCUUAUUGCCUGGAGCGUCGUCUUUGCUCCUGGACCCUCUUUUUGGGGUCACAUUGACCUUAGGAAAUUGGAUUGUCCCAUUUAGCAUCUGAAGCCUCAGGCCAGCCUUCCUUCUAUUUGUUCCCAUGCCUUCUGUGUCCGAAGCUCUCAAACAAAGAAGCAUUAGGUGUACAAGCCAGGUGUCACCUGAUGUGUGGAGUGCAGCACUUUAUUUUUUGAACAUAUGUAUUGAGCCAUGUGUAUUAAGUCCAGUUUUUUUACUUCGCAGGGUUUGCUUGGCCUCACCUUCGGGAGGUGCAGGAGUAAAGAAUCCGCCAGCCAGUACAGGAGAGACAGUGGAAUCCACAUAGAAGAGGCCCCUGAGGAUGCAUCUGGAUCGGGACUUCAUGGGCCAGAGCCAGCAGCUAACCCAGAGACUCUGCUGCUGUAACCCUGAAAUGUGAGAGUUGCUUGUCACUGUGGCAUUCCCUAGGUUGUUUCGACUAAUGCAGCAGUGUUCUGGAUGGGGGAACAGCAGUGCCAAGGCCCUUAGCUACAAGCGUACCUGGCAUGUCUGAGGAGCAGGGCAGAGGCUGUGUGGAGCAGAUUGGGCAGGAGAGUCCUGAGAUGAUAUCACAAAGGUAAAGAAGGGUGAGACAGGUUGUGCAGGGCCUUCAAAGCCAUUGUAAGGACUUUUGAUUUUAAUCUGAGUGAAAUGGGGAAUUGGGGAGUUUAGAGCAGAGGAAAGAUAAGAUUUGCAUUGCAUUUCAAAGGAUCAUUCUAGUCGUUCUGCUGAGAAUAGACUGCAGGGGGCAAAGUGCAAGAAGUGGAGUAAGGAGAUCAUUGCAGGUCAUAUAUGCUUUCCUGAUGGAACCCAGGGGCCUGGGAAACAAGGUGUGGCAGCAGGGGUGGACCCAGCCACUGCCACUUGUGCUACUUGGGAAAUGUAUGAUUCUAGUCCUUGCAACUCACAGCUCGGAGAUUUGUGAGCGUAAAACUCCUGGUUCCCAAAGAGGGACACUUGUGCCAGGGGAGUCCAGCAAGCGUUCUAGUCACUCCAGUCUCCUUGUGCCAAGAGACCAGCAGGAAGGAAAGAUGUCACCAUCCUGGCAGGGGAAACUGAUCUAAAACUCCAGGAGCAGGCUGGAAUUUGGGGGAAGGCAAAAAUCCAUUUGGCAUGCAGUGAUUUGGGGAGCAUCUCUUGGUUCUUCCUUGCCUGGUUUUGGUGAUAAAUAGAUCUUUCAGCAGCUAUGUCCUUUGAAGGGCAUGACGACCAGGAUAAACAAGCUCUUCAGGAAUGAGGACAUUGUUUACUCACCAGGAAAAGAGACCAGCUAGAAACUUGGAGCAGCUAUUCCAAGGUCAUCAGACUUACUGUACAAAGCAAGCAGAUCUGAGCAGGCAAGGGGUGGAUUUCAGUGAAUUUUGUGGUGUGCAGCACACAAUACCCCCUGCAGGACCCAAACAUUCAUUCUCCAAGUUACCAAAAGUGUCCCCAUUCUUGGAUGACACCUGGGCACCUUUCCAGAUAUUGCCCUUUGUGGACGGGAAUUGCCAGGAUUUAUGUUCCCUCCCCAAAAGGGGGUCAUUUUCGCUGACUGGCUUACUUGCGGAGUAUAAGGACCUGGCCUCUUGCCUCAGUCUGGGACAUCUCUGAAGAGCAUGCCUGGUUUAGAAUCUCUCUGCGAUUGGCUGAGGUCUCUGUUGUACUUACAUCAGAGUUCAGCUCCAUCUGCCCAGUCUGCUUCCUUCCUUUCUGGGGUAGACAGAAUAAUGAAUGGCUUCCCCCGGGUGUCUAACCCUACUUCCCAGAACUCAUAAACAUGUUGCCUUACAUGGCAAAAGGAAUUUGCAGGUGUAAUUAAGUUAGAGAUGUGGUGAUGGAGAGAUUACCCUUGGUGGACAAGGGUCCUUCUAAGAGAGAAUCAGGAUAUCAGAGAAGAAAGAAGAUGCUAUGCUGCUGGUUUUGAAGAUGGAGAAAGGGGCCACAAGUCAAAGAAUGGAGGUAGUUGAGAAAGUCAAGAAACAGAUUCUCCUUCAGAAC